AAUGAGAUGACUCUGUGGUCG
rnacentral:piRNA from 1 species